rnacentral:lncRNA from 1 species
CUGCUCUCGGGGUCCGGCCACACGGCGCCCACAGCCAGACCAGCAGAACCCAGGGCAGGGCAAAGUGAAGCGCAUAGUCGGGUCCAGCCCUGGCGGCCCUUCCCAUCUACUGACCGGCCGCCUCCUACCCUCCCAGGAGUGUCCUGCCUGUGAGGGGCCUUGCUUCCCUCUGGGGCAUGCACCCCCAGGCCCCAGCCCCAUUUUCUUGGAACUUUUCAGAAUCGCCCACAGGGACAGGGGCUCCAUCAGCUUGCCUGGCAGCAGGCCCCCAGCUGAGGUCAGUCCAGCACCAGCCCCCUGACCCACCCUGACACGCUCACCACCCCCCGGGCUGCCAGCACGCUUCAUCGCACGCCGGCUUCCAGGCUGGGGGCAAACAGGUGACACCAAACCCGGACCGUGGGGCCGUGGACAGGCAGCGGGACCAACGCGCAUUCCGUUCCAGGAAGCAGAAGCCGGGGGCACCCCAGACACACGGCACAGACUCGGGUCUUCUCCUUCUCAGAACGGACCAGCCUCACGAUCUGCGGGGCCCCUCGUUCAAAAAGGAUUAAGAAUCUGGAACGGCGACGGCAGAGCUUUCCAUGAAGCACGAGGCUCCCCCCACCGUGCACCCCGAGUCGCACGCCCACGAAGCCGCCAGGCCCGCCACGGCCGGCCCUGGGAGGCAGCGAGCGGUAUUACCUGCCUUCUGCUGGUGGGGACGCCGAGGCGCAUCAUGGCUCAGGAGCCAGCCCGAGGUCACAGAGCCGGCCUCUGGGAGGCGUGGACUCGACCUCUGCCACGUCCACCCCGGGAAACCACGAGGUCCCGACGGUCUGUUGGCCCUGCCCACCCUCGAGGGCAGUGGACGACCCACGCUGACCACCAGGACGUGCGAUCGGGGGGCCACGUCAGGGUCUGGCCCCCACCCAGCCUCCGGAGAGGAAGCAGGACCCACGUGCAGCCCGACGCUGGAGUGCAACGGAGUGAAGCGACUUCAAGGGGUCUGCAAACUCCGGCCCGCCAGGCAGGUCAGGCCCGCUGUCUGUCUGCAC